GGCACCUCGAUGUCGGCUCAUCACAUCCUGGGGCUGAAGUAGGUCCCAAGGGUAUGGCUGUUCGCCAUUUAAAGUGGUACGCGAGCUGGGUUUAGAACGUCGUGAGACAGUUCGGUCCCUAUCUGCCGUGGGCGCUGGAGAACUGAGGGGGGCUGCUCCUAGUACGAGAGGACCGGAGUGGACGCAUCACUGGUGUUCGGGUUGUCAUGCCAAUGGCACUGCCCGGUAGCUAAAUGCGGAAGAGAUAAGUGCUGAAAGCAUCUAAGCACGAAACUUGCCCCGAGAUGAGUUCUCCCUGACCCUUUAAGGGUCCUGAAGGAACGUUGAAGACGACGACGUUGAUAGGCCGGGUGUGUAAGCGCAGCGAUGCGUUGAGCUAACCGGUACUAAUGAACCGUGAGGCUUAACCUUACAACGCCGAAG
rnacentral:rRNA from 1 species